rnacentral:rRNA from 1 species
GACAGAGGUGCCAAGCGUUAGGCGGAAUCACUGGGCUUAAAGCGUGUGUAGGCGGACUUGUAAGUACCUUGUGAAAUCCCACGGCUCAACCGUGGAACUGCUUGGUAUACUGCUUGUCUUGAGCCACUUAGGGGCUACCGGAACAAAUGGUGGAGCGGUGAAAUGCGUAGAUAUCAUUUGGAACGCCAAUGGUGAAAACAGGUAGCUGGGAGUGUGCUGACGCUGAGACGCGAAAGCGUGGGGAGCAAACAGG